CCCCCAAAAAGAGACCUGGUACCUUGUCUCCCCAAACCCUAAUACACGCCACCGUCCCUCCGCCGUCCGGCGGCGGCCGGUAAUCACCUCCGCGGGUGGCGAUUCUCCGAUGACUCCCAAAAUUACACCACCCCACCUCCUCGACCUCCUCUAUCCAAAUCUAUAAUUCUCAUCCCUCGAAUACCAGCAAAACUCCUCGAAUAUUUGUUUGAAGGGGCAGCUGAUCCACCGUGUGGACAAUGCUGAUGCCAAUCGACCCCAAUAGAACACCAAACACUCCCCUCACCUUCCUCACCCCGAAUCUGUAAGUCCCGUCCAUCGAAUGUCGACCAAACUUCUUGAAUAUCUAUUUGAAAUGGCGAAUGCUCCACCGUACCCGGCGGAGUCAUAUCCAAACAACCCCAAACUAACACCCAGACUCUCCUCACCUCCCUAUUCCCAAACCCCUAGCUGGUUCCCUCCAAAUCCUCUCGAAUUUAAAAUCAAAAUCCGGGCCAGGAACUCUAGUUUUCAACUGUUGGAGUUUACUGCUUUAAGGUGCUAUAACAACCUUUAAUCGUGUGUUUUCCCUUGAAAACACAUGACUAAGGAUGGUUAUAGUCCGAUUAUCUCUAAAAGCCGGCCUUAAUUUUAGAUUCAAAAUGAGCGAUUUCGAGGUAUUCCUCUUUUACCUCCUUUCUAUUGUUCUUCAUGAUUUUGAUUUUAUUUCUUCUAUUUUGUAUUUUUAUUAUUUUUAUUUUAUUUUUGGGUCUUAAUUUAGCGUUUGAUUUCAGCCAUACAGUGUUAGCUUGCUCCUAUUUUUCAAAUAUAUUAUCAAUGUUUUCUACUGAUUUUUGUUGGGUUUUCUUUUAGAGUUACAGUUCAAUUUUGUUUUUGAAUGAUUCCAUGCAUGUUGUCGCUUUGUUUGUUUGUUCAUUUCUUCUAUGUUUUACAGUAUAAUUCCGUAUAAACUUUACAUUUUUCUUAUUUGGUAUAGUUAAGCUGUUCAUUAAUGUUUCAGUGAUAAGAUUAGUCUUAGGUUAUAGUUAGAAUUAAUUUCCAUGUGUUUGUUAAUUAUAUUGAUGUAUUAGUUCAAUUCUUAGGAACUGUUUGCAUAUGGUUGAAUGCUCCAGCAAUGUUUUAUUUAACCAUGGUCAGUUCUGACCAAGAUUAAGGGGAUUGGAUUUAGUUUGACAUAGAUUAGUAAUUGUAGGACCAAUUCUAGGAUAGUUUAGGUAUUUUUAAACUAAAGAAUCCUGCACUAACUAAUUUGGAACCCACUAGAACAAUCUAGAUGGGGUUUUAAUUUAAAAUUCAUGAUUUAAAUGGUCUAACUUGAGUAACAAGUUAAGAACUAAGGGACUAAAUAGCUACAAUCUAAAAAAACAAAAGAGGGACUGAAUGCAAACUAAUUUUCAGCAAAAAUGCCCUAGUCCAUACCUAUAAAAGGCAUGCUAAAACCUGCCUUUAGGGGACUGAAAAAAAGGGAUAGGAAAUACGGAAUCAUUGGCGGCUGUAAAUUGACCAGGAAUUCUGACUGUCCUAUUGAAUUCUUAUUCUAAGGUGUAGGCUUGUUAUUCCAAAAGGAAAAAUCUAGUUCAAUUUUGAAAGAAUAGAUGGUGGAGUUUGAGUUUGAAAUGUUUGAUUCUUGAGAACUCGUUGGGUCAGCUGUCUGUGUGAAAUUGUUUUCCGGGCUGUAUUACCAUGUUUUUGAGUUCAAAUAAAUCCUUCUGCUAUCUAUUCUAUUAUUGUUGGAUUUGAGUCUAUGUGACUGGUUUUUGUUGCUGAUUCUGCUGUCUAUUUGCUGAUCAAUCACUCUUGCUUCUUUCCAUCUUCCAGGUAUUUUCCCUAGCUCAUAGUGGGAGACCAAUUGUUCAACUUGUAACAGUUGAAUGUGCUGAAAUGAAGACUGAGUUCAUGUUGACGUAUUCGUUUUACUCCCUUCUUGUUUUUAGUAUCUAGAUCUAGAAUUACUGAUGUGUAAGAGACUCCUAUAGAAUUUUCAUGGUGUGUAUUAAACUAAAAUUGGAAACCAUGGUUGUUAUGGUCUUGUUGCUUGUUAGCAUUUAGCUUUAGUACUUCUUAUCAGCAUGCAUAAAAUUAACAUCCAUACAGCAAUUUGAUUAGGAUUUAAUGUUAAGCUGUGUGUUUUAAAGAAUAUGGGAAUAAUCAGUAGCUUAAUUUAUAAGGGUGAUUUUUCUGGUCAUGCAUCUUCAUUAUUGCUAUCCCGUUGUAAAUAUUAGCUUAACUUCAUGGUUAUGGGUGUAACAUAUUAACACUGUGAUGAACUGAUUUUAAGAGGGUUAUUAGUUUAAUUGUUUUUGCAUUUUUAGUUUCGGACUUUCACUCUUGCAAUUUGCUCGUCAUGGUGUUAUGAAGAGGUGAAAUUAGUUUUAGAUACAUGUGGGAUGAGCAGCAAGUUUGAGCUAAGGAUGGAAAUGAUCUUUGCUCGAAUAUGGGCACAUUUUCAAGCCCAGGCAUCGACUAAAUGAAUUUGAAGGAAUUCUUUGCCUAAUGUGGGUCAAAAGGUCUAAAUCUGAAGAUAUAACUCUCACUUGCAUAUUCAUGGGUUGGCGUCAAUUUGCACUUAUAUUACUAUAGUUUGGACUAUUACCAUUGGAUCCGAACAACUUGGAUCGCAAGAACUAGGCCCAACGCUGGCCCAAUCACACCCAAACCCAGUUGUUAUUCACACUCAUAUUGGUCCACGAUGAUUGAUGUUAUUUGGAUGUCGUUAGCUCUGGGCCUUUGCUCCUUAUACCAUUUUGUAAUUUUACUGGUGUUGAUUCACAGGGUUUAACAUAUUUUGUUUGUUUAGGAAGCAAUACCAAUCCCUACAAAGUUUUAUUCAUUUAGCUGAGUCUCUUUAGUUGAUUAUGGAAUUGACUCAAUCAGAUAAUAAUAGUUUCUAGGUUCCUCUAAUUCCUUAAAAAUAAAUUGAGGUGCACUACUUAGCGAGUUUUCGUGGCCCUCGCAAACUUAAACAUACGAAAUUGCUUUAGGCCUCUUAGUUAAAUAAUGUAUCCUCCUAAUUACACGUGUGCAUAUAUGUGACCCAAAUUCAAAUCCCAUUGAUGUUAAAAUAUGUCAAAAGCCACGAGUACAUUUAUGUGACGUGGCUCGAGACGUGUUUUGAUAAUGUUGCAAUCUUCUUAAAAUUAAUAAAGCGGUUAAAAGUUAAAGUUGGCGCAUAGGUACAAAUACAUUAAAAUCAGAUAAUCAAGCCAAAUAUAGCAGUCGAGAGACUGUGCUGGAACCACGGAAUUCGGGAGUGCCUAACACCUUCUCCCCGGUUAACAGAUUUCUUACGCAGAUUUCUGGCUCGCAGACGGUAUACAGAGUCAAACUUUCCUCGAUUCGGGAUAUAAACCGGUGACUUAGGACACCAUUAACUAUCCCAAGUGGAGACUCUAAAAUUAUUGAAUAAAUAAAUCUUGUUUUGAUUGUCCUUUAAUUGGAAAAACUCUCUUACCUACAUCUUUCGCCAGGGUUGUGGGGUUAAAAGAAGGUGUGACAGCUCUGGCGACUCUGCUGGGGAUCGAACCUAAAAUCUCUUGUUCAGGGUUCAAGAAUUCAAGCUUUAAAUAAUUUUCAUAUCCUGCUUUAUUAUUAUCUGGUUUUAUUGCAUAAUUGUUCCCGAUGUGCUAAAUGUUGUUUUUACAGAUUUAAUAUUAUUUGAACUGUGUAUACACGGCGACAACCCUUCUCUUCUCAUCUUCAGGGAUGUGCUCGCUGGUCGAGACUCCCCAGUCUGUUAGUGUCAUACCUUAAAAUAAGAAAGAAUCUCGGACAAGUUACAAAGCCGGAUCCCGCUCUGGUACACAGUAUAGAAUAUAUACCCACGUUUUAAACGUAGAAUAACUUAACCUCUUGCCGGAUCCCUAGUAGGAAUGCUUCUUCUCAUCAUGAAUUUGACUUAGGGGACUCAACACAAGGGUUGGGUCUGUCUAGGACAGGUGCACCCAAAAUAGUCGACCAUCCUAAUGCAUUUUGCAUGUUACUAGUGCAUUUAUUCUGGAUUUUGCAUGCUGACCGGCUCAUGAAUAUUGGGGAAACGUUGAGCGAAGAGAAAUAGUAGUAUGAGGGUAAAGAGAGUUAAUUUCCUAUUUUGGAAAAACCAAUGUCCAAGUAAUGCCGAAACUCUGCCAAAUCUUUUAGAAAAAUUAAAAAGAGAAGAAAAGGGAGAAGAGUUUUGUUUUCAAAAAUAGUUUGUUCUAUUUUCCAAUGGAAAAGAAAAAAAGCGAGUCUUGUUUUCAAAAAUAGUUUGUUUUGUUGUCAAUAAAAAAGAAAAAAAAGUCGUGUUUUCAAAAAUAGUUUUAUCUGCCCAAACUACGCCUGUUUGAUUCUCACAGGGUUUGAGAUACGUAAGCAACCCCCAUCGAGCCCAACUUCGUUUUUACAAAAAUAGCAAAGAAAAAGAACCAGGUCUUGUUUGUGACUAGUAAAUAAAGUAGUUUUGGUCAAAAUUAAACGAGUGUCCCUAAAGGGGCGCCGAAAGGCUAUUUUUGCAAGAACAACUGCCUUGGAUUAUUUUUUAAUAUUUUGGCCGGUAGUAGGCAUAACUUUAAAAUCUUCCCCAGGAAAUGCUGAAAAGUUGUACUUACAAGGCCAGGGUUUCAUUUUUGAAAUGAAAAUUUGAAAAUUCCUUGUUUUAAGCCCAAUAAAUCUUGAUUUGUUUUGAUUAAUCGCCUUAAUAAAUCUGCAGCAUGAGCACAAAUCAAAGUUUGCCAAUCUCAGUCAUGAACAAGAUCCCUUUGGAGGUACGCAUGUGGUGGAAUGAUCUAGGUGAAGCGAGGCAAAACAGGGUCAACACACACUUGGGAGGGCUUACCGGCUUGUUGAAAAUUAAUACUAGAGGAGAUAUCAUAAAAGCAUUGGUAACAUUCUGGGAUCUGGCCCACAACGUAUUUCAUUUCUCAGACUUUGAACUUACUCCGAUCCUAGAAGGAAUAACUUGAUAUAUUGAUACAUUGAGGUUCCCACAAUUCCUUUGAGGCACCAGUAUUUGGUUGCACAAAGGGCCAUCGCCGUACACAAAUUCUUGGACUCAUUAAUGAUUAGCAGGAAGGUCCACAAUCCAGACCUAUCAGCCGGCUUUUAUACUCCACAGUUUAUAUAUCGGAGGUAUGGAAACAUAGGGGAAUUUAAUGACCCGAAAAAUAAUAUUUGUAGCAAGGGAAAUCGACUUAAAUGGGAGGAACACCGGUGUUUCACAUAUAUGGUAUUCUUCUUACGCCUUUUGGUGUUUCCAUGGAAGGACGGAAAUAUUGAUAUACGGUUAGAAGGGGUUGUCAGCACUUUAAUUACUCAAGCCAAGAGCACUCUCUCACCUAUGGUAUUAUCUGAAAUUUUCCGUGCCCUCACAGCUUGUAACGUAGGGGGAGACUUUUUCGAAUGAUGCAACCUGUUGUUACAAAUAUGGAUUAUUGAACACUUGUUCCAUCGACCUCAAUUCAUGAGUUAUGGGUCGUCAGCAAAAAGCUGCAUAGAGGAAUUUUACAAUAGGAUUGAUGGGCUUAGAUUACCAGAGGGUGCUACACAAUGGGUAUCACGUCUCCGUGCCAUAAGUGCAAACCAAAUAGAGUGGACGUUUGGGUGGCUUACCAUGAUGAAAUCAUAUAUAUUGCCAGCCACCAGACCUCAUUUCUUUCUGAUGGGUCUCCAGAGUAUCCAACCCUAUGCUCCGUACAUAGUGUUAAGACAAUUAGGGAGGUGCCAAAUGAUUCUCAGAGAUGAGGACAUUAGUCGCCACGUGGUCGAUAUUAGUUCCAAUUGUCAGUUUUCAGAAGCAGCAGUCCGUCAAAUUUAGAGCGAAUGUCAAUACUUGACAGCGGACACUCGAGUACACGACUCAUCUAAAGGCGAGGUUGCACCAGGGUACCUUGCUUGGUAUAAGAAAGAAAUAGAUUUCGGAAGUCCGCCUAAGAGGCCACAUCUCCAAGAAUUUGUUGAGGCAUCACAAGAACAAUGGAAUAGGUUAGCCAAGGAAAACGAAUACAUGGCCACGAUAGGGAAAUUGGAAAAGCAAGUCAAAGACAUUCAAUUCAAAAAUGGUUGGCUAGCUGCUGUAGACGAGGGUGAAAAUAAAAGACUAGCCAAAGAAAAUGAAGCGUUGCGAGCCCAAAUUCAGAGAAUGAAAAUAGCCACGGAGAAUCCCUCCAUGAGCUUGAAGGAUGAAAAGCACAUAGACAAUUUAAGGAAAAAAGUAGCAGAAUAUGGUUUUGACUUGAAUAAAGCAGACGGUGAGCUGUCCAGGGAUCGAAAAACAUUGCCCAAAAAUGCAGAGGAACGAGACCGCAUGAUUGAACAAUUAAAAUAAAGGCACGACAAUGAGGUUGUUGGGUUGAAGAGGAAGGUCAUCAUGGUUGAAAACAAAAUAGCCAAGCAAGCCAGGCACUUCAAGGCUAAGAGAGAAUAUUGUUACGCAGCAAUAGCAUGAUUGGAAGGAGUUUGGAGCAAUUCCAAGAACUGAAUCGUGUAGCCCACCGAACUUUGGCGGCAAGGGCCCAGCAAAUUGGACGAUUGCUGAAAGAAAAGGGUGCUAUAAUAGAGAGGGUACGUAUGAUCACUGACUACAUCACCACAAAGUGUAAUCACUUGCGAAGAUAUGACAAGAUCUAUAUUCUUUGCCACCGCCAUGAUCUUUGUUCAUCAAGUAAUGGAAGACCUCCACCACCUCUAAGGGGAUUUAGCACGCAAUCCUGUGGCAAGACCAAAUGAUGUCCCCCGGGCCCCAGAAGCAUUAGAGACUUUAAUGUAUUCAUGUUCAUAAUAGGUUGUCAAGUUAGUUAUUUUCAUUUUAAGUCGGAACGUGUUGUUUCCAGUUGAGUCGGAGUUUGUUAAUUUCUUUUAGUAAGUUGUAAUCAAGUGAUUUACUUUAUGAAAAUUGAAGAAAGUAUUUUUAAAAUAUUUCCUGUAUUUAUUUUCCAAAAUUACGCACGGUCUGAUUCGUGCGGGGUCAUGAUACGUAGGCAAUCCACAUAGGAUUCGACCACAACUAAAAUAAAAGGGGAAAAGAAGGGAAUAUCACAAAUGAAGCAGCAGUAAAACAACAGAGAGAAUAAUAAAAGCAAAACAAGAUGAGAAAAGGAGAGGGGAAAAAGGAAAACCAAGAGAGAAAAGAAAAGUGGCAUAGAGUAAAAGUCGGGAUGAUGCAAGCAACCAACUAGUGCAUAAUAGAAAUCGAUAACUGCGGUUAGGUGCAUUGCACAUAAAAUGAAAUUAUCCUGUGUUAAUGCUAGCGUGAUGGCUUCAUUUUGUUUUGUUCGUACCAGAAGGGUGGUUGGUUUGUGGCUUUUUGAAGUGGUAACUCUUCUCUACAACAUAAAGCCAAAGACAACGACAACCAACAACAGAACUGAGUUGGCUGAUACCGGUGCCCCAAAGCAGCUGGUUAAAUGGGAAAACGUGUUGGUUGAAGAAUUAAACAUGUUAAGACAACACAUGGAGGAUAUGCAUCAGGCUUGGAUAAUCGGGAAGGCACCACCCCCGCCACCCCCAGGCUUGUUAGAUGCUCCCUUUACCCAAACUCUGGCCCUCUUCUAACACCCCGAUAGCUCCAUCUCUCACCAUAAUGAAUACCCACUAAAAGCUCAUGAUGCCCAAUAUUACCUCUCAAAGGUUGCCCGCAAGAAGAACCUUCAGGAUAAGCUUCAUGCUGAAAAUGAAAAGGUUACAGAAAAAGAAGGCGAGAGGAGAUAUUUGGGAAGCUGAAAAGCACAGAACAGUCAUUAAAGAACAUGCAAGGGAAGGGAGACCAGGGUAGCAUGAAUUACAAAGCACUGUCAGUGUUCCCCUACAUUCGUCUGCCCGGGGAAUUUCAAGCACCAAAAUUUAAAUUAUAUAAUGGGUUUGGAGAUUAGAUAGCCUACUUGAAGUUUUAUUACAAUGAUAUGAGCAGUGUUGGUGCGAGGGACGACUUGUUGACUGCAUAUUUCAGUAAGAGCUUGACUAUGGCAGUUCUAGAAUGGUAUAAUUGUCAAGAUGUUGGUAAGUGGCAUACAUGAGAUGAUAUGGCUCAAGGUUUGGUGCGACACUUUCAGCACGAUAUAGACAUUGUCCCAGACCGUUCCUCCCCACCUCAUAUGGAAAUGAAACUCAAGGAGAGCAUUAUGGACCUUUGGCUCAGGUGGAACGAACAAGUUACUCGGGAUAGUCAUCCCGUCGAGAGAAAAGAUAUUGUUGAGCCCUGCCGAUGACAGGGUCCAGUAGUCAUCCUUGCUAAACGCAUUCAGCCUCAACAGCGGCCCCAUAGACAUCCUGGUACACCAGAUGACCUUCCCUAAUACUACCUUUCUCCACAGAACCCUCGGAGUCGUGCUUCAUUUUCCCAGUAUCCUGUCUGCAAUACACCACCAUAUGCUCCACACCCACGAGGCUCGCGAUGGCCCGCACCACUACCCUAUAUGUCUUACCGGCCCUCUCAGGCAUGUCAACCACCUGCCCACAAAAUAUUCCAACCAAACCAAAGUGUAAAAUGAAAAGACUACUGAAAAAAGAUAAUGCUUUCACACUCUUUAGAGAAUCCUAUACAAGCUUGUUCGAAAAAUUAAGCAUGCCGACCUUAUUAAGUCGCUCCUCGGCUAUACUCCAGACCCAUAUGCAAAAGGCUUUGAUCUCGCUGUUCGAUACAUGUACCACAUUAAUGUCCAGGGGCAUAGCAUUGAGGAUUGUCAUUCUUUGAAAAGGAAAAUAGAAAGAAUGAUUCAAGAGGGGUAAUUGUUGUCAAUGACAGUGACAGGGAGCAUGAAAAUCCUCUCGGGAACUUGGUGAUUAAACUCAGUAGCCAAGAUGCCGGGCUUCGUGAUUGGGAAGACGCUCCAUUUCUUGGUCAGCUAGAGUGAAGUUCUGGUGGUUUAUUUCGUUGUUAUGUCUAUUGUCCGGAUUGUUGCAGGGUUGUAAUCCAGGCAUUGUCUUGUGACUCAAACCCUUCUAUCCUUUCAUUUUGCAUAGUUUGUUUAGUCGUAGUAGCUUGUUUAGUGUUGUAGAGUUUGUUCUAGGUUUGGAACCUCAAUUUAGUCUUCUUGUUACCUUUCAAACCAUUUCACCAUAUGUCUAAUGCAACUCUCUGUCUUUUGUUAUUUCUAGUUGUUCUGGUUCAGUUCCUUUUCUCUUUUAGUCCUUUUCCUGUUGACUCUAGUGACCUGACAUGCACACGCAAUUCUCACCCUGGUUUUAAAUAAGUUAGCUCAAUCAUGAAGCAAUGAAGAAGACGAUAUGGACAUUCGAGGGAAAUAAAUAGAGAGAUUUUGAGAUCAUCUGAAUCCCUAACCAUGUGAAAUUGGGGCAGAUAAAGCAUAAGGACACCUGAUUGAAAUGCAGAGGCUGUUCACCGUAACGAGAGUAUUGUCCAAUGGACCUUGGUAUUUGACAGAUAAAGAAGGAAAAUGGUAUAAAUGGUUAUCAGCUCUGAUAUAGUUAAAAUAUAUUAUGUACGACUUCUUUGCUUAAGUUGUGGCUGUUUGUACUUUGCACGUUUUGGAGAUUGAAAUGGAGAAGGCAUUUUAUUCGGCUAUCUAAACAUUCUAUCAUUUGCUAACCCUUUUGAGCUUUAAUUAUUUUCUUUCAUACCCCUCUUUUGGAAUUAGUAACAAAUUCAGAAAAGCAAGUGUAAAAAUAAGUAAAAGAAAAGACCAGGGAAGAAUGAAAAGAAAGAAAGAGGAAAAAGAAGGAAGAAGAAGAGAAGAGAAAAAAAAAGAAAAGGAAAGAAUAAAGAAGAAAAGAAAAUAAAAAGAGAAAAAUAAAAGAGGGAAAGAAAAAAAAGAAAAGAGAGAGAAGGGAAAAACCCACAAAACAAAAAAACAACAAAAGAAAAAAAUGAAGAAACAGAAUAAGGAAAGGAAAAAAAGAGAAGACCACAAAAAACAAGGAAUCAACAUAAAACUACGUUUGACCUGAUUCUCUUUUAAGGAUAUGUAGGCAACAUCAUGGUUCGGUCCCAUCAAAAUAAAAUUCAAAAGUCCCCAAGCAAAGAAACAGGGACGGAAGUUGUGGUUGUUGUAAGAAAUCUGAUUCCGAAAGUUGUAAUUUUGAACUCAUUUGAAUUGUUUUGAGCCUUUAAUACCCUUUCUUUCAAACCCUAUCCAAAAGCCCACGUUACGGUCCAAAGAAAGGCUUUCUGAUCAGUCUUCAAGAAAUGCCAAGUCAAGUAAGAAGAGGUGAUGCACAUCAAGGGCAACCCUCUGUGACAAGCAAGAAAGUGAUGAAAAAUGAGAGAGUCUUAUUGCUGAAAACCCUCAGGGGCACCAUAAGGCGACAAUGAGAUUGAGAGAAAGCCCAAAAUGAGAGAGUCUUGAUAGUGAAAAUCCUACGGGCACUACGAGUCGAAUAAGGAUUGAGAAUCAGCCACCAGAUGGAGAUUGUGAACGAUGACUAACAACGGAGCAUCGAAGCCCAGUUUCAUGGCUAAGAGUAUAGCAGGAGCUGAACAUCAAAUUUGCUUGAUAGGAUGGACCGCAGGCGCAUGUCAGGAUCAUUAGAGUCGGUAUCCACAUCUGAUAGGUUUCUACUUCGCAGUUUUUCUGUUAGGAAUCAUCUCUUUGUUCUUUUCUUGUUUACUUUUUCUUCUUGAGUCUGUUGAGUUGAACUAGUAAGAAAUGACUUCAAAAUUUUCCAUGAGCUUUUCAAUUGCACAAAGCGGGAUAUGGUCAGCACAUCAAAGUAUUGUAAGUCCGGAAAUAACAACAAGUGCUCUGAAUUGGUAACUUUGGAAUUCACGUGGAAUAUAAAGGCUUGCUAUAUAUCAAUUCAUGGACAGUGCAACAGAAAGAGGGCUAGGGUGAACGGAUCAAAGGUGUUUUCCGUGAUGAGAUUGACAAAAAGGGUGGUAAACCAGUGACAAGCAAGAUCUUCCAAGAAGAAAUCAAAGUUAUCAUGGCUAGCUAUGGAGCAAUAGACCUCAAGUCCAGAGCCAGUGAUUUGAGUCAAGAAAGAACAUCAUACACACUGAGGUUGGUAACAAUUAAUAUACUUUGGGGAUCAUGUGAGACACAAAGGUUUGGUAGAUGCCGAUUCAGGAGCAAUGCAACAGAUAGAAGGUAUUGGGUUUGAACAAGAAGAGGUAUUUUUUGGGUUAAGGUUUACAAAGGAAGUGGUUAGUCAAGGAACAAGCAGGGUCUUCGAAUGAAAAUCAGUUAUCAUGACAAGUGAAGGAGCAACAGCUAUCAAGGUCAAGGCCAGUAUUUUAAGUCAAUAAAUAACAUCAUACGCACGAAGUGGGGCAAUGGACGUGCUUUGUGAUUCAUGAGAGACACAAAGGUUAGGUAGAUGUCAGUUCAUGAGAAAUGCAACAAGUAGAGGAUAUUGGGUCUAAAUGGAGAAGAGGUAUUUUCUGUAACAAUGGUGACAGAGAAAUUGGUUAGUCAAUAAGCAAGCAAUGUCUUUCAAGGUGAAAUCAAAGUUACCAUGGCAAGUGAAGGAGCACAACACAAAGAUGGGAAAGUCCACAUGGGUUCAGGGGUCAGCCAAGCAUAGUAAACAGACUAGGUAAUCUAAGGAAAGAUGAAAGAAUUCUGGCAAAAGGGUCAAAAGUACCAUAGAAAAAGAGGGGAGCAAAGUAAAGCCACAAGGUUUCAGGGGUCAGCCAAGCAUCGUAAACUGACUUGUUGAUCUCAGGAAAGAUGUAAGAGUUCUGGAAAAAGGGUCAGAAGCGCAACACAAAAAUAGGGGAGCAGAGUAAAGCCACAAGGUUUCAGGGGUCAACCGAUCAUAGUACACUGACUCGGUAAUCUCAGGAAAUAUGUAAGAAUUCUAGCAAAAGGGGUUAGGAGUGCAAUGCAAUAAUAAGGGAGCAAAGUAAGGCCAUAGGGCUCAAGGGUUAGCCGAGCAACUCAUCCUCAAGUGCGGAAAGUUAAACACAACGGAACGAGACAGUAGGGAGGCCAGUUUCAACAAGAACGCCGCAAGCUGACCACCACUUUUCAAACUAACAAAACUUUCUUUUAUUGACACAGGGGCAUAAAUUUCGGGAAAUACUAGGGGAAGGCAAGCACAUGGCAGGUAUGAUCGAAAAUCUCAGGAACCUCCUGGAAAAUGGGACUCAGUAAAAUUCAACAAGGAACAUAAUCUGACAUAAAUAUUCUCCCCCGCAAGAGUCGUCAGGACCCGUCUGAAUAAUGGGACAAAACUUUAACUAGAAAGCCCCAGCAGAGAUAACUGAAAGUUAGAAUUGGCAUUUAAUCUGGAACUCUCGGGACCCUCCUGGAAAAUGGGACCAAUGUAAAGGUUGGAUGUGAUCUUUAAUAGCAAAGAGCAUAGGGUGACUUGCAUGUGGAAUAGGGUUCAGAUAAGAGUUGUCAAGACCCUCAUGGAGAAUGGGACUUAACUUAAAAUUCAAACAGUCUGGUGGAAUGGUCAUGCCCAAAUAUUUCCCCACCAAAAGUCGUCACGGACCCGCCCGGAUAAUGGGAUUCGAUUGUAGGAGUUGUCAAGACCCUCCUGGAUAAUGAGAUGCAGAUCUAAUUACUAAUCCCCAGCGGACACAAUAUUUCAUCUAAUUAAGAUUUGUCAGGACCCGUAUGGAUAAUGGGAAAUAGCUUUAAUCACCGGUCCCCAGUAGAUCCCGAGAAGAUAUAACUCAGAGAACAAAACAUAGUGAAAUAUAAUACCUUUUGAGAAAAAUAACCUAAUCUUAAAGUUGCCAUUAGUUAAGAGUUGUCGGGACCUCUCCUGAAUAAUGGGAUUUAACUUUUAGAUUUUAGAAAUAGUUGAUAAUGGGAUUUGAUUAACACUCACAGAUGCACCCAGCACCAAACUGGGGCAGAAAAGAACUCCUUUGUUUCGUUUGUUUUGUUAUGUUCAGAUACAAAGGCAAUGGUCUCAGGGAAUACUUUUUCAAGUUGCAAGUUUUGGUAAUCGGGCGCCCACCUGGAGAACAAGGAAAUAUUUUUCAAGUUGCAAGUUUUGGUAAUUAGGGGCCCACUUGGAUAACAAGGAAUACUUUUCAAGUUUCAAGUUUUGGUAAUCAGGCGCCCAUCUAGAGAACAAAGGGAAUAUUUUUCAAGUUUCAAGUUUUGGUAAUUAGAUGUCCACCUGGAGAACAAGGGAAUACUUUUCAAGUUGCAUGUUUUGGUAAUCUGGCGCCCCACCGGGAGAACAAGGGAAUACUUUUCAAAUUUUAAGUUUUGGUAAUCAGGCGCCCACCUGGUAAAAAGGGAAUACUUUUCAAAUUUCAUGUUUUGGUAAUCAGGCGCCCACCUGGAGAUCAAGGGAAUAUUUUUCAAGUUUCAAGUUUUAGUAAUCAGGCGCCCACCCAUAGAACAAAGGACUACAAUUCAAAUCCAACAACCAAGCAUCAACAUGGAGAAAAAGAAACGUAGCAAUAGGGGGACAAGAAGUUUCACAGAAGAAAGUACAGCGAGACAACAAGAAAUUUCUCAGGGAGAUACACAAAGCAACAAGGCAACAAAGAUCAAGAGCAAGUUUCAACACAUAGAUAGGUUCUCUUGUAAUUCAUAGUUCAUAGCUUAGUCUAGCUUCUUUAUUUUCACAAGGUAUAAUAAGGGGGUCUAGCAAGUAGUAGUAGCAGCAGAAGCAACAGUGAGGUCACGGCUUCGGUAGCCCCAGCUACCAAACAAUCCGUAACUGCACUGACCUAAUUUCUCUUUAGCUGAGGAUUUGUAUGCAACCUCUGACGCAGGGUACGGUCAAGCUUUUCAAACGCUUCUAACGGAGUAUUCAAGCAGGCAAAAAUUGCUCGUGUCCGUUGUCACGACUCAUUUUCUGAACAAGCCGAGACCGGUACUCAAUCACUAAACAUGACCGAGCGAACCAUCUCUGCUUAUCAAACCUAUUACAACUUCAAAUUUUAUAUGCAAAAGAAAAUAAUACUCUAACCGAAUACUUUCGAUUAAUUUAAAUAUUUUAAUAAAUCAACUCCAAGACUUUAUUUGUACUACUGAAUUACUGCUAAGUUACAAUAAAAUAACAUCUUAAUCUCAACCCAAUGACUAUGUCUAUGAAGCCUCUAGUAAUAAACUGACGCACUGCUUAGGACAUGCAAUUUCCUGGCCAGUUCUCUAAGUAAACAAAGAAAUAACUAAAUAAAGAUGACUCAGAAGAAUACUCCACGAACAAAAGUGGAGCUCACCAAUAGCACUGGAAGGGAAUGAAGUCCUAACUCGUAUCCUCCUCGCCUGCAAAUCCGACUCGUACGUUGUACCAUAGACCAACGUAGGUUCCCAAAAUAGAACGGCAGUACAAUCCAUCACAAUCAAUGAGUCUUAACAACAUGGACGAAACUUUUAUAACAUAUACAUUAUGAGAAAAGGUUCUAAAUGCAUGUAACUCACAAAGCUUAUAAGAAUAAUUCUAAAUAAUUGCAUAAUAGCAGUUUAUGAAUAUUUUAAAAGAAAUUCUUUUCUUUUUUUCUUUCUUAUAAAAAUAAAUAAAUAUACUUCAUUUUAUACUUUGGGAGUUCCAACUAUCCUGACUUAAUUCUGUCUCAGGCACCGUGUGAUCGGCACGGGUUCGAUCCCAACCUGAUCGAAUAUGCCCAAUCCACGAGGUGCCACUCGUUUCAUGGUUCUCCGCGCUCAUAUGUCAUACCUUAGCAUGGCUAAGUAUAUUCUCAGCAACGAGACCCUCGGUUCAUGUGCUCCCUACUUUGGCACAAGUAGUUUUAGGAAGUCAACGCCUUGGUCAGGACCCUCGGCUUGUACGAUGACCCCUUCUCAGAAUAAAGGAUACUCCCGAAAAUCUUUUCUUUCUAAAACUUCUUCUUGUGAAUUAUCAAGUCUAAAUCUUUUAUUUAUAGAAUAUCAUGUACAUAAUCAUGCUGGUAUCCUUAAAUGUAAAGCAUGUCAUAAGAAUGAAAUAAACAUGUAAAAGUAUUUCUAAAAAUUCUUUCAUAUUCAUAAACUUUAAACAUGAAAAUAACAUAUAAGAAUAACCUAAAAUUCUGAAAAUUUAAGCACAUAUAUCAUAAUAAGUCAUCUAAAAAUCUGAUCUUUGACUUCCUAUACACAUCUUACAAAAUAACAAACCAUUCCGCCUGAUUAAAAUUUCAACAUAAACACUUGGAAAUCCCUCUAUUUUCCAUGUAAAAUAAGAUUACACUAAAUUUAUACUUACAAGACUAGAAGAUGCAUCAGGAAUGGAGUUGCUCCCAUUAGGCGCGAGAACACUAAAUUUUGCUAGAACAAUUUUAAGUUAAUAAGUACUCACUCGCUUCAAUUAAGUAAAUAUAAACUCUUUUAAGAAAUUCAUCAAACACCUUGUAUGCGUGCUUUUGUGAGUUAAACCACUUUAAUAAAGGGGUAUAUCAACUCACCUCAAACCUUCUCGAGUCAAUAUGCAGGCCCCAGUCCAAUUGAUACCAAUCAAACAAUCGAUUCUAUAACAAUCCGUGCAUUUUUAUCAAUUUUAAAGUACUACACCUAAUUAUGAAAUAUAUUGAUAAUAUAGAGAAAGAAUGGAAUUAGCUAUUCAAUUCUUACCUAUUAUUAGUGUAGGGUAAUUGACAAUAGGGUAUUUUACAUACCUUAGUUCAAGAAUAAGGGAGUUAUGAAGAACCCUAGGAUUUCUUUUUUUUUCCGUUGCUUGCGUGCUCUAUUUCGACUGCGAACAAAACUUAGUGUUCUGUUUUUCGUCUAAGGCAAAAGUCUUCGACCUUUUUGGAAGAAUCAGAAUGUAUUUUGUUUCUCUUUAACGCUUAAAGCCUUUAUUUUCCAAUAGCCCUUUUAUGGGCUUUUAGUCCCAUUUCUCUCUUUUUUUGUUUUGUUAACAAAUAUCUUAAUAUACUUAUUUUUAACCAUUAAUAAUACUAAAAUUAUUAAUAUUUCCCUAAUUGCGCUGAUGGUAAGCAACCUCCACUUCCAAUCGAGAGGUUGUGAGUUCAAGUAUCCCCAAGAGCAAGGUGGGAAGUUCUUGGAUGGAAGGAUGUCGGGGGUCUGUUUGGAAACAACCUCUCUACCCAAGUGUAAGGGUAAGGUCUGCGUACAUACUACCCUCCCCAGACCCCAUUAAGUGGGAUUAUACUGGGUUUAUAAUUAGGUAUCUUGAAACUUUUAUAAAUUUGAUGAGUGUUACAAUCUUCCCUCCUUAAAUACAUUCAUCCUCGAAUGUUGCUAGGCCUUAUUCUUAAGCUAAAAACAAUUCUUUAGGUUCUUGAACCUCUUAAGUUGUUCUUAGCACUGCUGACUUUUCCAAGAGACUCAAAAUUUUGGCUAACUCCCUAAAGUUUCAAAAUUUUCGAUAGAGUUUCCCUUGUAAAUUGGACUAUCAAGAAAAAUAUCCUUGUCACAAAUACGGCAACUACACCAACAACAACCAAAUAUACCAUAACAGACCAUUCAUAGGCACCAUACGCCGCUCAUAAAUUAAUUACUCACACUCCGGCAAGGAGGUACCACAAUAACUAACAAGAAUCUAAAAUACCAUGAUAUGCCAUUCGUAGGCACCAUUCACAGCUCAUAAAGUAAUUACUCACACUCCGGCAACGAGGUAUCAUAAUAACCAACAAGAAUCUAAAGCACAACAACUUUAGCAAUAGUAAAUCACUUUAAUGAAUUAAAUAUACUCUGGCAUAAACUAAAUCACUACAACAAAUAAAUAUAAUCUAGGAAGGAGAUAAACACUUGCUAACUUGUAUUUAAUAAAAGAAAUAUAAAUGUCAAGUAGAACCAAGGUUCACAUACCUUGUUACUCAAAUAAAUAAGGAUACUUCUUCCUCAUAUCUACCUCGACCUCCCACGUAGCUUCUUUUGAAUCAUGAUUACUCCACAAAGCUUUUAUCGAUGCUAUAUCUUUUAUUCUCAAAUUCUUACUUGUCUAUCAAGAAUUUCUAUAGGUACCUCUUUCAUAAGUCAAAACUUUUACCAAUGCUAUAUCUUUUGUUCUCAACUUUCUUACUUCUAUUAAGAAUUUCUGUAAGUACCUCUUUAUAAGUCAAACCUUCUUUAAUUUCUAUGGUAUCAGCAGGUAUUAUAUGCGACUCAUCAUCAAUGUACUUUCUAAGCAUAGACACAUGAAUGACGGGGUGAACGGAGGACAACUCAAUGGGUAGUGUUAGCUUAUAAGUCACGUUUCCUUUCUUUUCUAGAAUUUCAUAAGGUCCGAUAAAUCUAGGACUAAGUUUCCCUUUCUUACCAAACCUCANNNNNNNNNNNNNNNNNNNNNNNNNNNNNNNNNNNNNNNNNNNNNNNNNNNNNNNNNNNNNNNNNNNNNNNNNNNNNNNNNNNNNNNNNNNNNNNNNNACUACCUCAUAACUCCUUUCAUUGGUGAAACUUUCAAAAACACAUUAUCACCAACCAUGAACUCUAACUCACGAUGCCUCUUGUCAGAGUAAGACUUUUGAAAACUCUGGGCCGCUUUAAUUAUUUCUCUAAUUAGCUGAACUUUCUUCAAAGCUUCACAAACAAACUCCGGACCAAUCAACGGCACCUUUACUGGUUCAAACCAACCCAACCGGAGACCUACAUCUCCGCCCAUACAACACUUCAUAAGGAGCCAUACCAAUGCUGGCCUGAUAGCUGUUAUUGUAAGCAAAUUCUAUAAGUGACAAGUGAUCAUCCCAAUUACCUUCAAAGUCUUUAACAGAUGAUCGCAUCAUAUCUUCGAGAGUCUGAAUGGUCCUUUUUGCUUGGUCAUCGGUUUGUGGAUGGAAAGCGGUACUCAAAUUUGGAUCAUCCCAAUCCUCCAAAAUCUAUAGCACACACAUGCAACAUAUCUUCGAGAGUCUAAUUGGUCCUUUCUGCCUGGCCAUCGGUCUGUGGAGGAAAAGCGGUGUGUAAUUUGACCUUGGUACCUAAUCUUUUCUGAAAUGCCUGCCAACAAUGCGCCGUGAACUGAGGGCAUCUAUCAUAUAUGAUUGAAAUUGGAGUACCUUGCAAUCAGACUAUAUCAUUGAUGUACAACUGCGCAUACUGCUAUGCGGAGUCUGUCGUCUUUAUUGGUAGGAAAUGCUCGGACUUUGUCAAUUGGUCUACAAUAACCCAAAUUGAAUCAUGUUUACGGUAUGUGCGAGGUAGACCUACUACGAAAUCCAUAUUAAUCAUCUCCCACUUCCAUUAUGGUAUCUCUAAGUCUUUCUAGGACACCGGGCCUCUGAUAAUUGGCUUUAACUUGCUGAAAAUUUAAACAUUUAGCCACAUGAUCUGCUACUUGUUUCUUCAUGCCUUUCCACCCAUACAACUCUUUCAAAUCUACAUACAUUUUGGUAGCACCUGGGUGGAUAGAGUACCUCAAGCUGUGAGCUUCCUCCAUUAUGGCCUUCCUUAGACCAUCUACAUCAGGCACACAUAACCGAUCAUUCAACUUCAAAACUCCGUCACUUCCUAGAGUGAACACAAUGAUCUCUUUGCUUCUGACUCCUUCUUUUAAUUUUACUAAGUACGGAUCUUCAUCUUGCUUAGACUUAACAUGUGCAACAAGGGAGGAUUGCGCUAAGUCAUAAGCAGUCAUAUCUCCUUCUUUGGUCAAUCCAAUCUAAUUCCAUCAUUUGCUACUUUUUGAAUUUCUCGACCCAAAGAUCGCCUUUGUACUGCAAGAUGUGACUUUCUACUAAGUCCAUCUGCUACCACAUUAGCUUUGCAUGGGUGAUAAAGGAUAUUGAUGUCAUAAUCUUUUAAUAUCUCUAACCACCUUCUCUAUCUCAAAUUUAGUUCUUUUUGCUUGAAAAUGUACGUGAGGCUUUUGUGGUCUAUAAACACAUCAGAAUGCUCGCCAUAAAGGUAGUGUCUCCAUAUUUUUAAUGCAAACACCACUGUUGCAAGCUCCAAGUCGUGUGAGGGGUAGUUCUUUUCAUGAUUCUUUAACUAACUAGAAGCAUAAGCAAUAACUUUUCCAUUUUGUAUAAGAACACAACAAAGGCCCACCCUGGAGGCAUCACAAUACACUGUGAACCCACCCGAACUUGUCAGUCAGGUUAACACAGGUGCAGUGGUUAACCUCUUCUUUAAUUCUUGAAAACUCUGCUCACAAGCGCCUGACCAUUGGAACAACUGCUUUCUGAGUCAACUUAGUUAAUGGAGCUUCAAGUAAGGAAAACCCCUCCAUAAACUUUCUAUAGUAGCCAUCUAACCCCAAAAAACUCCUGAUUUUGGUUGGCAUUGCCGGCCGAGGCCAGUUCUUGGCUGCUUCUAUCUUCUAAGGGUCUACUUUUAUUCCUUCACUAGAUACCAUGUGGCCUAAGAAUGCCACUGACUGCAACCAGAACUCACAUUUCGAAAACUUGGCAUAAAGCUCAUUCUCCUUUAAGGUCUGCAACGCUAUCCUGAGGUGUUCUGCAUGAUCUUCCUUGCUCUUAGAGUGCACCAAAAUAUCGUCUAUAACAAGGCUAUUCUGAGGUGUUCUGAAUGAUCUUCCUUGGUCUUAAAGUACACCAAAAUAUCAUCUAUAAAAACAAUAAUAAAGGUAUCCAUGAAUGGCUUGAAAACUCUGCUCAUGAGGUCCAUGAAUGCAGCUAGAGCAUUUGUCAGCCCGAAGGACUUCACUAGAAAUUCAUAGUGUCUGUAGCGAGUUCUAAAGGCUGUUUUAGAUAUAUCCUCUAUUCUGAUUCUCAACUGAUGGUAUCCCGACCUCAAGUCUAUUUUUGAAAAGUACUUUGCACCUGAAUUUGAUCCAAUAAAUCAUCAACUCUUGGCAAUGGGUACUUGUCCUUAAUGGUAACUUUAUUAAAUUGUCGAUAGUCGACACACAUUGUGAGAACACCAAACAGGAGCGAGGCACCCCACGGUGAAACACUCGGCCUGAUGAAGCCCUUGUAUAGAAGGUCUUUCAACUGUUCUCUCAACUUACUAAGUUCUGCUAGAGCCAUCCUAUAAGGAGGUAUAGAUAUCGACUGAGUUCCUGGCAUGAGAUCAAUGCCAAAGUCUAUGAUUCUUUCGGUAGGAAUUUCGGGAAGUUCAUCUGGGGAAACUUCUGGAAAUUCUCUAACAACUGGCACUGCCCGAAGAGCUGGUAGUUCUGAUUCUGGAUUAAUGAUGUGAGACAAAUAGGCAAGACACCCUUUACCGAUCAUUCGUUGUGCCUUAAGGUAAGAAAUAAACGUACCUACAAGCGAUGCUGAACUACCCUUCCACUCUAAAACCUCUUCAUUUGGAAAUUGGAACCUGACUAUCUUGGCAUGACAAUUUAACAUGGCAUAGCAGGAAGACAGUCAAUCCAUACCCAUGAUCACAUCAAAAUCCACCAUUUCUAACUCUAUGAGAUCGGCUUUGGUGUUACGACCUUGCACUGAAACUAUACAACCUCUAUAGACUCUGGUGACUUUCACUGACUCCGCAAUUGGAAUCUACUAGGAAUGGCUCACUAAGUUGUUCAAGUUCUGGUCCGAGAUUAAUUACAAAGUAUGGAGUCACAUAUGAAAACGUUGAACCUGGAUCCAUUAUGGCAUAAACAUUAUGUGAGCAGACUAAAAGUAUACCUGAGUACCUCAUACUCCCACUAGUUAAUUUGGAUUCUUUCUUUAUAUAGGGGGUUCCUUUUUGUUUAAUGCAUUGAACUUUAUCCACUAUAUCUUACUUAAUAAUAACUUCUGCAAAUGCCUUUACACUUUGACGAUCAAGUGAAGCAAACAAAUAGGGUUGUCCCCCUCCCUGAGUAACUCAGUUUGCACCUCUUCCUGCUCCAUGUCCGGUCUCAUUAUGAGAACCACGAGCCUGAGGUGGUGCAACUGCAGUAGCUGAGGAACUAGAAGGAUGAGUUGAUCUACCACUGAAAUUACGUCACAACUUUGGGCAGUUGGCCUUUAUAUGACCAAUGUCUCCACAAUGGUAGCAACUAUGAAACCCGAGCUUACACUGGCAUGAAUGUUUCCGCUUACAUGUUCCACAAAUACCUUGCUUGUGUGAAUGAUGCUCAGCAUGACUCUGGCUAUGUGAGGACGAUGUCCUAAAAUUCUGAUUGUGGCGACACUAAUUUCCAUAACUCUGAGUUUGUCUGAAGAAAGACCCACCACCUGAUUGAUGACUACACUUAACUGGUGCUAAUGACUCCUUAUUAGAGGAAUCCCUUCCACCUCCGCUGGAUGUACCAUUCAACGUGUCCUUGUCCGAGCUUUCUUGUUAUGCUCUUUCUCUUCUAUCCUUUGUCGUUUGUCUUUUUCUACGUGCUUGGCGAACCCCACAAUAGAUGAGAAAGCUGUCAUUCCUACCGCUGUAGCUGAUGUCGUAUCCUUAAUGUGGUAAACCAAACCGCCAACAAACCUGCGAAUCUUUGAUUUUUCUGUCUUAACCAUGUGAGGAGCAUGCUUAGCUAGCCUUAUGACUCCAUGUAGUAAUCUUGCACACUUUUAUUACCUAGCUUGAGCUGUUCGAACUAUGUAGCCUUAGCUACCAUAUCCUCUUCUGGCGUUAGCUAUGAAGGCCUCUUCAAAUUCUUCCCAAGUAGGUGGAUUGUCAUCUUCAUCUCUCUCCUUUUCCCACAUCUCAAACCAAGCGCCAGCCACAUCUCUAAGCUGGUAAGCAGCCAGCUCCACAACUUUGUCAUCAAAUGCUUUCAUCACUCGGAGGGCUUUCUUAACACCCUACAUCCAUAACAUUGGAUCUUCAUCAACUAUAGAACCAUGGAACACUGGAGGACUCAACUUCAAAAAUUCAUUCACUCUUGAGGACUCAGAAUUGUUCUGUCUAUUUUAUUGAGGUAGAAUCUUAUCUCUUCUCUCGUUCUGGUUGGCCAUAAAGGCUUUAACAUCUCCAUAGCAAUGUUAACUUCAUUGAACAUAUAACCUACCUCUGGGGAUAUAGUUGCUUGAGUCGGAGCUGCUGUUGGGGUUGGCAUUGGAUCUUAAGGUACUUGCUCAUCAUGCUCCACCCCUUAUUCAUGUUCAACCUGGGGACUUGAACCUCUUGUGGAUUUACUCUUUCUUUUCUGGGCUGAAGCCAUUUUAGUUCUACCUUGGGACACAAUAGUAGCAAGAGUUUCUUGAGCAGCAUCCUGAGUGUCGGUGUUAGAGUUGCAAGUACGAGCCAUUUCUGCGAGUUUUGGAGAAACGAAAACAUUAGAUAAUUUCUUAGAGGUAGGAUCUACUGCACGAUCUAAAGUAUGAAAAAUGAGAUUUUUCCUAAAUGCUUGUUGCCUCCUGUUUAUAAGUAUGGCGCACUUCAUACCCAUAAACAAGACUCUACUAACACGGCGUCAUAGACCCCUACUCCAUAAACCUGAGACUCUGAUACCAAGUUUGUCACGACGCAUUUUCUGAACAAGCCUAGACCGGCACUCGGUCACUAAAUAUGACCGAGCGAACCAUCUCUGCUUAUCAAACCUAUUACAACUACAAACUUUAUAUGAAAAAGAAAAUAAUACUCUAACCAAACACUUUCGAUUAAUUCAAAUAUUUAAAUAAAUCAACUCCAAGACUUUAUUUGUAAUAACUACUAAAUUACUGCUAAGUUACUAUAAAAUAACAUCUGAAUCUCAACCCAAUGACUAUGUCUAUAAAGCCUCUACUGAUAAACUGACGCACUGCUCAGGACAUGCAAUUUCCUGGCCAGUUCUCUAAGUAAACAAAGAAAUAACUAAUUAAAUAUGACUCAAAUGAAUACUCCACGAACAAAAGUGGAGCUCACCAAUAGCACUGGAAUGGAAGGAAGUCCUAACUCGUAGCUUGCUCGCCUGCAAAUCCGGUUCCUAUGUUGUACCGCAGACCAACGUAGGUUCCCCAAAGAGAACGUCAGUACCAUCCAUUGCACUUAGUAAGUCUCAACAACAGGGGUGAAAUAUUAAUAACAUAUACAUUAUGAGCAAAUGUUCUAAAUGCAUGUAACACACAAAGCUUAUAAGAAUAAUUCUAAAUAAUUGCGUAAUAGCAGUUAAUAAAUAUUCUAAAAGAAAUUCUUUUCUUUUUUUUCUUUCCUAUAAAGAUAAAUAAAUAUACUUCACUUUAUACUUGGGGAGUUCCAACUAUCCUGACUUAAUUUUGUCCCAGUCACCGUAUGAUCGGCACAGGUUCGAUCCCAACCUAAUCGAAUAGGCUCAAACCACGAGGUGCCACUCUCUUCAUGGUUCUUCGCGCUCAUGUGUCAUACCUUAGCAUGCUAAGUAAAUUCUCAGCAACGACACCUUCGGCUCGUAUGCUACCUGCUUUGGCACAAGUAGUUUCAGGAAGUCAACACCUUGGUCAGGACUCUUGGCAUGUACGAUGGCCCCUUCUCAAAAUAAAGGAUACUCCCGAAAAUCUUUUCUUUCUAAAACUUUUUCUUGUGACUUCUCAAGUCUAAAUCUUUUGUUUAUAUAAUACAUACUCAUGCUGGUAUCCUUAAAUGUAAAGCAGUCAUAAGAAUGAAUUAAACGUGUAAAAGUAUUUCUAAAAAGCCUUUCUUAUUCAUAAAUUUUAACAUGAAAAUAACAUAUAAGAAUAAGCCAAAAUUCUAAAAAUUUAAUGACAUAUAUCAUAGUAAGUCAUCUAAAAAUCUGAUCUUUGACUUCCUAUGCACAACUUACCCAAUAACAAACCAUUCCGCCUAAUUGAAAUUUUAACAGAAACACUUGGAAAUCCCUCUAUUCUCCAUGUAAAAUAAGAUUACACUAAAUUUAUACUUACAAGACUAGAAGAUGCAGCAGGAAUGGAGUUGCUUCCAUUAGGCGCGAGACACUAAAUUUUUCUAGAACAAUUUUAAGUUAAUAAGUACUCACUCACUCCAAUUAAGUAAAUAUAAACUCUUUUAAGAAAUUCAUCAAAAACCUUGUAUGCGUGCUUUUGUGAGUUAAACCACUUUAAUAAAGGGGUAUAUCAACUCACCUUAAAACUUCUCGAGCCAAUACGCAGGCCGCAGUCCAAUUGACAUCAAUCAAAAAAUUGAUUCUACAACAAACAGUGCAUUUUUAUUAAUUUUAAAGUACUACACCUAAUUAUGAAAUAUAUUAAUAAUAUAGAGAAAGAAUGGAAUUAGCUAUUCAAUGCUUACCUAUUAUUACUGUAGGGUAAUUGACAAUAGGAAAUUUUAUAUACCUGAAAUCAAGAAUAAGUAAGUUACGAAGAACCCUAGAAUUUCUUCUUUUUUUUCCGUUGCCGACGUGCUCUAUUUCGUGAGUGAACAGAACUUAGUGUUCUGUUUUCCGUCUAAGACAAAAGCCUUCGCCCUUUUUGGAAGAAUCAAGACGUGGGUUCUGUUUCUCUUUAAUGCUUAACGCCUUUAUUUUCCAAUAGCCUUUUAUGGGAUUUUAGUCCCCUUUCUCUUUCUUUUUUUUUUUUUUUGUUAACAUAUAUCUUAUUACACUUAUAAUAUCUUAUAAUACUUAUUUUUAACCAUUAAUAAUAUAAAAAUUAUUAAUAUUUCUCUAAUUGUAUAUCUAAUUAUGUAUAUAUACAUAUGUAUAUAUAUAUACAUACAUAUAUAUAUAUCUAUACAUACAUAUAUAUAUACAUACAUACAUAUAUAUAUAUAUAUAUACAGACAUAUAUAUAUAAUUAGCGUAUCUUGAAAUAUUUAUAAAUUUGAGGAGUGUUACAUUCGCUCCCUUAUCUUUGCAUGAAAAGUCUUCGUGUUUCCGGGUAAAGAGGGGCAGUAUUGAGCAUGAUUUUUGCCAUAUAUGUAUUACUUCCAUAAAUUAAAAAUAAAAUAAUUUUUUUUGUUUGAUUGCAAUUUGAAUUUUCGUUGCGUUUUCUGUCAAUGGUUUGAAUUUCUUUGUGCACAUUUAUUUUGUCUUAAUUAAUGGAAAUACCAAAAUAUGUGGCAUGUGCAUUUAGAAUUCAAUCUUGCUUUUUGAGAAUUAAGUAGUAAUUGGUUCAUUUUAUGAAAAAAGAAAAUUCAAAAAUAGUUUAAUUUGCAUUUUAAUUCUAAUUUUGAUAUUUAGGUGAUUUCUUUUCUUUUAAUUUUUCUUUAACUAAUUAUGAUAACUGUUACUUAUUAUUAAUUAGCAUCUCUUAUAGGUCAAUUGUUCAAUCAUUUUAUUUUAAUUUAGGAUUUUUAGCUUAAUUUUGAAAAUAAAAAAACAAAAAGAAAGAAAGGAAAAUAUAUCAAAAAAUUUGAUGCCCAAAUUAUAAAUAUUAGCAUGUCUUAUAGAUCAAUUGUGCAUUCAUUUUGUUUUCAUUUAGGAUUUUUAGUUUAAUUUUUAAAAAAAAGAGAGAAAGGAAAAUAAAACCUAAAAAUUUGAUGCCCAAAUUGGGCAAAUAUUCACCCAAACCCCACAGACCCAAGCCCAAGUCCCCUAACCCGGUCCGAUCUCCCUCAUAUAACCAAAUUGACGUCGCUUGGGCCACUUAAAUAAGAUGAUCCAUUCCUUUUGAUCACACGGUGAUGAAGCCAGCUAUGCUUCAUAUAUAAUGGUCUCAAACACCCCCACCCCCAAAAGAGACCUGGUACUUUGUCUCCCCAAACCCUAAAACACGCCACCGUCCCUCCAUCAUCCACCGGCGGCGAUUCUCCAAUGACUCCCAAACUUACGUAACCCCACCUCCUGACCUCCUCUAUCCAAAUCUGUAAUUCCCAUCCCUCGAAUACUAGCCAAACUCCUUGAAUAUUUGUUUGAAGGGGUGUCUGCUCCGUCGUGUGCGGAGGCACCGAUGUCAAUCGACCCCAAAAGAACACCAAACACUCCCCUCACCUUCCUCACUCCGAAUCUAUAAGUCCUGUCCCUCGAAUGUCGACCAAACUUCUCGAAUAUCCAUUUGAAAUGGCGACUGCUCCACCGCAGACGACGUCAUCAUCUCCAAACAACCCCAAACUAACACCCCGGACUCUCCUCACCUCCCUCUUCCCAAACCCCAAACUGGUUCCCUCCAAAUCUCACCAAAUCAUCUCGAAUUUCAAAUCAAAAUUCGGGCCAGGAACCCUAGUUUUCAACAGUUGGAGUUUUACUUAUUUAAGUGGCUAUAUCAACUCUUAAUCGUGUGUUUUACCUUGAAAACACCUGAUUAAGGAUGGUUAUCGUCCGAUUACCUCUAAAAGCCGGCAUUAAUUUAGAUUCCAAAUGAGUGAUUUUGAGGUAUUCCCCUUCUACAUCCUUUCAGUUAUUCUUCAUGAUUUUGAUUUUAUUUUUUCUAUUUGGUAUUUCUAUUAUUUUUAUUUUAUUUUUGGGUCUUAAUUUAGGUUUUGAUUUCAGCCAUGGAGUGUUAGCUUGCUCUAAUUUUUCAAUUAUAUGAUUGAUGUUUGCUACUGAUUUAUGUUGGGUUUUCUUAUAGAGUUAAGAUUUAAUAUAUUUCUCGAAUGAUUCCAUGCAUGUUGUUGUUUUGUUUAUUUUGUUCAUUUCUUUUAUGUUUUACAGUGAAGUAUGUUCUUUACUUUUUCCUUAUUUGGUAUAGUUAAGUUGUUCAUUAAUGUUUCAGUGAUGAGAUUAGUCUUAAGUUAUAGUUAGAAUUAAUUUUCAUGUGUUUGUUAAUUAGAUUGAUUUAUUAGUUCAAUUCUUAGGAACUGUUUGGAUAUGGCUGAAAGCUCCAGCAUUGGUUUAUUUAACCAUGGUUAGUUCUGACAAAGAUUAAGGGGAUAGGGUUUAGUUUAACAUAGAUUAGUAAUUAUAGGACCUAUUCAAGGGUAAUUUAGGUAUUUUAAACAAAAGAAUCCUGCAGUAACUAAUUUGGAACCCGCUAGGACCUUCUAGAUGGGGUUUUAAUUUAAAAUUCACGAUUUAAAUGGUCUAACUUGAGUAAUAAGUCAAGAACUAAGGGACUAAAUAGCUAAAAUCUGAAAAAACAAAAGAGGGACUGAAUGCAAACUAAUUUACAGCACAAAUGCCCUAGUCCUUGCCUAUAAAAGGCAUGCUAAAACCUGCCUUUAGAGGAAUGAAAAAAAUGGAGAGGAAAUACAGAAUCAUAGGCGGCUGAAAAUUGACCAAGAAAACUCUAAGGGGUAGGCUUGUUAUUCCAAAAGGAAAAUUCUGGUUCAAUUUUGAAAGAAUAGAUGGUGGAGUUUGAGUUUGAAAUGUUUUGAUUCCUGAGAGUCAGUUGCUUGCGUGAAAUUGUUUUCCGGGAUGUAUUACCCUGUUUUUGAGUUCAAAGAAAUCUUUUUGCUAUCUAUUCCAUUGCUGCUGGAUUUGAGUCUAUGUGACUAGCUUUUUUUGUUGAUUCUGCUAUUUAUUUGCUGAUCAAUCACUCUUUCUUAUUUCCAUUUUCCGUGUAUUUUCCCUAGCUCAUAGUGGGAGACCAAUUGUUGAACUUGUAAUAGUUGAAUGUGCUGAAAUGAAGACUGAGUUCAUGUUGACGUAUUUGUUUUACUCUCAUCUUGUUUUUAGUAUCUAGAUCUAGAAUUACUUAUGUGUAAGAGACUCCUAUAGAAUUUUCAUGGUUAAACUGGACUUGGAAACCAUGGUGGCUAUGGUCCUAUUGCUUGUUAGCAUUUAGCUUUAGUACUUCUUAUCAGCAUGC
rnacentral:lncRNA from 1 species